rnacentral:tRNA from 1 species
AAGAAUUAGUUAAUAUAUAACAUAAAAUUGUCAAAUUUAAGUAAUUAAAAUAAAUAAUAUUCUUAUA